GACGAACGCUGGCGGCGUGCUUAACACAUGCAAGUCGAACGGAAAGGCCCUGCUUUUGUGGGGCGCUCGAGUGGCGAACGGGUGAGUAACACGUGAGUAACCUGCCCUUGACUUUGGGAUAACUUCAGGAAACUGGGGCUAAUACCGGAUAGGAGCUCCUGCUGCAUGGUGGGGGUUGGAAAGUUUCGGCGGUUGGGGAUGGACUCGCGGCUUAUCAGCUUGUUGGUGGGGUAGUGGCUUACCAAGGCUUUGACGGGUAGCCGGCCUGAGAGGGUGACCGGCCACAUUGGGACUGAGAUACGGCCUAGACUCCUACGGGAGGCAGCAGUGGGGAAUAUUGCACAAUGGGCGGAAGCCUGAUGCAGCAACGCCGCGUGCGGGAUGACGGCCUUCGGGUUGUAAACCGCUUUCGCCUGUGACGAAGCGUGAGUGACGGUAAUGGGUAAAGAAGCACCGGCUAACUACGUG
rnacentral:rRNA from 1 species